AGCGCGCUAAUAGACAGAGCAGCUUUAUCUCUGUCCAGUUUUCCUAUCUACUGUAUUAAUCAAUGCAUAUGUAUUAUACAGUACAUUCAUUGUGGAAGUUACUCUAAUUAUAUUUGUUUUGAUUACAGUUAAUUGUUAUACUUGAAUAUUAUUUGUAUAUCUUUAUUUGGUAGAGACACCACACACACAUAUGCGUAGCAGAAUUUCUUCAUGACAUUUUCCUUUAGUGUUGUUCUAUGAUUAGACUUGUAUUUACAGGCACAACAGUCACACUGGUGAAUUUCACAAAUCUUUUGCCUCUUUUGUUAUUAUUAUUGAGAACUGGUGCAACUUGUCCUAAAAAAAAAGCAUAUUUCGUAAGCUUCUAAAACAUUUCAGAGAAAAAAAAAUUAAUACUGCAAGAAAAAGUAAUGCUGUGAAUUGUUUUUUUAAGCUUUUAGCCAGUACCCCCAUUCCCAUGUGUUCCAUGGGACACACAGCUGAAAGUGCUCUACCUAACUUAUAAUUGUAACAGUUACCUACUUCAGUGUGUUACAAACAUAAUUUUGGUGUCUUUGGAAAAAAUACCCUUUAGGUUUUACUUUUUAUCAACCAGAUUUGAUAAUGCUCAAAAAUAUUAAAAGUUUUAGACACAUACAUAAAAUACAUGAAAUGAGUCCUAGAGCAUCCUAGAAAAGUAAUGGUUUGAAAGUCACGUCUCAUGAGUUUCUUUUUCAAAUCUGAAGAAGAUAUCAUGAUAAAUGAGACUCCUGCAAAUAUUUUUAUAAGACUAUGUCAAAUCAACGUAAAACACACUUUAACAUAUAUAAAAACUGUUGAAAAAUAAAACAAAGAAAAAGACGAUCGCUAUAAGUACCGCCUCCAUCAGCUGACAGGUGCGUCAGAGCGGGUCACGAGGGAGCGCAAAAAUUCAGUGGACCCUUAGCUUUCUAACGGAACCGGGAUUUACAGCUGUGGAUGUGUUUAUGAAUCGUUAUUACGACGGAUCUGGUAAUACUGUCUUUAUAAGCUUUCCAUUGAAAAACAGCGAUCUGUCGUCGAUGCUUGAGGCUUAAAUCUUUUUAUAAUGAUUCAUAGUUUGUCAAGAUUAAAUUUGUCCCGUUUCAUUUAAUCUAUUCGUAAACACUGACACGUGCGAGUUUAGGGGCUUUCAGGACGCCUGCAUUCUGGUGCUGGCUAACAGGUUUAUCACAUUUGUGAAUGAGACAAGCCAUCUGCACAUGCUCAGACCUGAGAGACCUUGAAUGCAAACCACAUCCUGAUUUGCUCAAGAUACAAGAUCUGCUGUAAUAUUUGAGGAUUUUACCAAAUCAGCUCACCUGUUCAAAUAGAUCACUUCAAACUCCUAGACAAACCAUGGAUUUUGAGAACAGCAAAGAAGGAUGUAAAAACUGCAAAAAGAAUCGCAAACAAAAGAAGCAUCUCAAACUAAGCAAGCCAAAGGCAGACGUGAAGAAGAAACCUUGGGGGAGAAACCAUGUUCAGUCGUGUGUCCAGUUCUCCUCUGGCCUGUCGAAACCAAGCCAUGCUGGUUACACGGGUAUUUUUAUAAAAAAAUUUUCAUUUAAUUUUUCGUUUUAAAAACAAUCUCCAUCCACAUGAAAAUGCAAACGCAUGCUAUGAAGCACAGUCAAGAGCAUGUCAAACCAACAGGUGGCUAUAUAAGCUCAACCAUAAAGCCAUGAUGGCCAAUCAGAAGCCUGAAAAAGUAGGUGGAAGUAACAGUAAGGCCCAAUAAAAUAAAAUUUUCUCCAAAUUCAAUUUUUUCCGUUUUAUUUUUUCUUGACCCUUUUUAAUGGUAAAAUUGAAAUUGUAUUAAUCAAAAAGCACAGAAUUAUUGUUGCUUAAUUCUGUGUUAAGUAACUUUAUGGGGUGCUGGCACUGGAGGGUCAGGCACAGCAAAGCACUUUGGGGAUGGCAUGCUUGACUGAGGAACUGUCGGCGGGCUUGCCACAUAAAUGACUGGCUGAUUUGAUUUGGGAACAGCCGGCAGGAUCGACACGGGAACAACAGGCUGAUUUGACUGGUGAAUGGCCGGCAGAUGGGUCCUUCAUCAGAGGCUUUCCAGACACCGGAUGACUGCCUCCUUCCAGCCGAGGAUCAUGGUUCAUUCCUCUAUUUCAUCUUGGAGGAUACACAGGAGCAAGGAACUAGGAGAAGCAGGAGUAUUACCAUCAAACAGUCUUAAAUCACAGACGUGGAAUCACAUGGAGAGGAGGGAAAUUACAUAUAUAACAGCCGACAAAGGAGCUCUCAUCUGUGAACACUAUUUAUUCACAGGAUAUGAUGGGAAGACGAAGAACACCUGGAACUAGUGUUCCAAAGUCUUUCUGCUGGGAGACGUUGGGCUUUACAUUCUGCAGGAGGGAAUCUGCAGUUUGGAAAAAACAAAACAGGAAGAUUACUUAGAAUGGCUUACAUAUAGUUAUCUCUACUUGUUAAUCCGGGGUAGGAUGGCACAGAAAAAGUGGUAACACUUUAGAACAAGGAACACAUUCACUAUUUUUUUUUUUUUUUUUUUUAUUGUCAGUUCAAUGAUCAGAAGUACACAGAUACAGUGUCAGACAUACAAAAUAAGAACAAAGCAAAAUACAAUGGAAAGGAAGAAGGAAAAAAAAAAAAAAAGGUCAAAUGAUAAAAUACAUUACAAGUACAGGGAAUCACAAAU